AUUGAACGCUGGGGGCAGGCUUAACACAUGCAAGUCGAACGGUAACAUGAAGAAGCUUGCUUCUUUGAUGACGAGUGGCGGACGGGUGAGUAAUGCUUGGGAAUCUAGCUUAUGGAGGGGGAUAACUACGGGAAACUGUAGCUAAUACCGCGUAGAAUCGAGAGAUGAAAGUGUGGGACCUUCGGGCCACAUGCCAUAGGAUGAGCCCAAGUGGGAUUAGGUAGUUGGUGAGGUAAAGGCUCACCAAGCCGACGAUCUCUAGCUGGUCUGAGAGGAUGACCAGCCACACUGGGACUGAGACACGGCCCAGACUCCUACGGGAGGCAGCAGUGGGGAAUAUUGCGCAAUGGGGGCAACCCUGACGCAGCCAUGCCGCGUGAAUGAAGAAGGCCUUCGGGUUGUAAAGUUCUUUCGGUAGCGAGGAAGGCAUUUAGUUUAAUAAAACUAGGUGA
rnacentral:rRNA from 1 species